UACGUUAGAAGACUAGUGUUAUUCAUCUUUAAUAGGUUUAAAGGGUACCUAGACGGUAUGAAUUAGUCUUAAACAAGAUUACAAUUAUACUAGAGUUAUAUAUAAGGAGGCGAGUAUUUAUGGAGUAGGAGUUAGAUAUUCUUUGGAUACCUUAACGACUGGAUAACGGCGAAAGCAACCUCGUUAUCCAAUAACUGACGUUAGGGACGAAGGCUCGGGUCACGAACAGG
rnacentral:rRNA from 1 species